UGUAGAGAAACUGUUGCUGAUGUAGCAUAUAUGGUUACAAGUUAGUUUUCAGUUUUCCCUUCUAGGAUGCUAGUUUUGGCCCUUGUAGGAGGGAGUGGUUCAGGAAAAAGCACAACUAUAUAUCAUAAACUGAGUGUUUCUAUGAACUACUUCUGGUAAAAUUCUAUUAGAUAGAAGUGAUAUAAAGGAAUUUGAUCCAAAAUGCAUGGCUUAGACAUCAAAUUGGACUAGUUAAUCGUGCUUUGGACCUUUCAGAUGCUCACUCUUUCAUCAACAAUCUUCCUGAUGGAUUAGAUUUCCAGGUAAUAAACCUUCCCGAUGCUCACUCUUUCAUCAACAAUCUUCCUGACCAAACACUAUAAUUUCCAUGCAAAUCUUCACUCCAAAUUACCCUAUCAUCUUUGUCAACCAAUAGGAGGGGAACCGCAAGUAUAGCUGCAGCCACGCCAUUUGAAAACAGAUGCUGGAUUUUUGCUUCAUCCCACCUCCUUUUUCCUUGCACCAUCAAGUCACUUACCCUCAAAUUACACUUCUUGCCUUUGAGGGGACUGCACCCCAUUUGAUUGACUCAUCUGUAACCAAGGAUCAUGCAUCACUCACACUCUUGUACCAUCACCAAUACACCAUCUUGUUUUCAAUAACCAAGGUUGGUGAGGGAUACAAUUAGCAGGGGGACAAAAGCAAAGGAUUGCAAUAAGAUAUCAUGCUAUAGUUAAAAAUCCAUCAGUCCUUUUAUUAGACGAAGCACUUAGUGCUUUGAAUGCAGAGUUUGAGAAAAGUAUAUAAGAACCUCUUGUUAUAGUGUCAUGAUUGGUAGAACAACUUCGAUAGCUAUUGUUGAAGGAGGGAGCAUUGUGGAAACUGGAAUUCGUGAUGAGCUCAUUUCCAACUCAAACAGUGUAUUAUGCAUCUCUUUCAAGGCCAACCUUUUCCAGGAAACGAAGUACUAUAGUACAAUUCAGAACAAGAUCACAAAAUGUGGCAUGAUCUUGGCCCAGUAAUGAAAAGCAUCAAAAGAGCACUCAAAUCACAGAACAUCAGAGGCAUCAAAAGUGACACCCCAUUAGCCAUGGAUGUCUUACAAUUAACAUUACCAACGUCAAGCGGGACAUUCCAAUCCAACAAAAGAGACGGUGUGAUAGCACCAAUGCUCAAAUUCUUUGACAUGACCAACUCAUUUUUCUCUAUUGAUGCAUACCCAUAUUUCCCAUGGUCACAGGACCCUCAACAGUAUUCCCCUAGAUUUUACUCUAUUUAGGAGAGACUUUACCACAAGAGACCUUGGUAGGCUUAAUCUACAUAAACUUGUUAGACGAAAUGCUUGAUUCCCUCAUCUUUGCCAUGUCAAAACUCGGAUACUCCAAGACAUAAAAGAACCUGACGUGAACGUUUACAACGCAGCCACAAACAAUCCCAAUCUCAUCCAAAGAAUGACAACAAAACCACCAAUCGAAACACCAAUGUGCCCUGGUGUCCCCAUACCCACCUUCAUCUUCUCACCUUUCAACAAAAACCAAAAACCAGGUCCCGGGACACAGCAACACUGGGGUUAUUACUACACAGACAGAACCCCAGUUUAUGGUUUAGACCUUAACAGGAAGAAAGAAAAAACACAUCACAGACUAUGCACCAUUACCAGCUCCAAAGAACAAUGUGCCAUACAAGGGUAAGGUAUGGUGUAUGGUUGCAGAAGGAGUAAAUGAAGUGGAAUUGGCAGCAGCUUUGUCAUAUGCUUGCAAUGUAGGAAACAUGAUAUGUGAUACACUUACACUUUCACCUGGAAUUUGAAUGCUAUGAACCAGUUUCAGUGCCAGAUUAUUCAAGUUAAGUUUUUGGCAGCUAUUGGGCUAAGUUUCAAAGUAACAGAGCUACUUGCUACUACACAAACAACCAAAGACCCUAGUAAGUCUCUAAUUUCAUAUCAAAUACACAAUUUCACGGUUAUGACCAAGUAUUUGGGUUCGAGUACUUAAUGAGUUCCACCAAGAACAAAUUCGGGAGAACCCAAGUUCAAUUCUUGGUGGAACUUUACUAACCUCUCAAGAGACAGUUAUCAGAAAUCAAAGCAAUGGUGAUUAAGCUUCUGUAUGUAAUGAUCUUUGGAUUUCAAGAAAUAUACCAAUUUGCUUUGAAA